rnacentral:rRNA from 1 species
UACGAAGGGGGGCUAGCGUUGCUCGGAAUUACUGGGCGUAAAGGGCGCGUAGGCGGAUAGUUUAGUCAGAGGUAAAAGCCCAGGGCUCAACCUUGGAACUGCCUUUGAUACUGGCUAUCUUGAGUACGGGAGAGGUGUGUGGAACUCCGAGUGUAGAGGUGAAAUUCGUAGAUAUUCGGAAGAACACCAGUGGCGAAGGCGACACACUGGCCCGUUACUGACGCUGAGGCGCGAAAGCGUGGGGGAGCAAACAGG